CACGUAGGAGGCAAGCGUUAUUCGGAUUUACUGGGCGUAAAGCGCGUGCAGGCGGUUUGGAAAGUUGGAUGUGAAAGCUCCUGGCUCAACUGGGAGAGGUCGUUCAAAACUUCCAGACUUGAGAGUGGUAGAGGGAGGUGGAAUUCCGGGUGUAGUGGUGAAAUGCGUAGAUAUCCGGAGGAACACCAGUGGCGAAAGCGGCCUCCUGGACCACUUCUGACGCUCAGACGCGAAAGCUAGGGUAGCAAACGGG
rnacentral:rRNA from 2 species